UAUUUAUUUUAUUAAUUAAAAAUUAUUAUUAUUAUUUAAUUUAUUUAUAUGAGGGAAUUAACUUUCAAUUAUUUAUUUUAUAGUAAUUAUUAAAUUUAAAAUUUAAUUUAUAGUGAAUUAAGGUAUUGUAAAAGAAUUAAAAUUAUUAAAAUUAUAAAAAGAAGAUUUAAUUUAUUGUAUCUUGGGUUUCAGAGAUAAUUAAUAUACUUAUUAGAAUAUUUAUUUUCUCGAAAUUUAAGGAUUUAAUUUUAUAUUUAAGUUAAUGUAUUAUAAUUAUUUAUAAUUUAGAAGUUUGAAAUUAAAAGUUAUUCGUCUUAUUUUAUAUCUAGUUUUUUUAGAAAUAAAUUUAAUUUAUUUUUUUUAAUAAUUUAUAGUUAAAAUAUAUAUAUAUAUAUAUAUAAUUAAAAAUUUAAUUAUUCUAUGGGUUAAUCUAUAGAUUAAAUUUUAAUAUUAAUUUUUUUAAAAAAAAAUUGUUUAUUAUAAAUUGAAUUUUUAUUUAAAUAAAUUUAUUAAAAUAAAUUCAUUUUAAAAAAAAAUUUCUAUUAUUUUUUUAUAAAUUUAUAAAGAAUUUAUAAUUAAUUAUUAAUUUAUAAUUUAUAAUGAUUAUAUGAGUACAUAUUUAUAUUUAAAUAAAAUUAUAUAAAUAUAAUUUAUAUAUAUAAAUUCGGCAAAAAUUGGGAAUUCAACUGUUUAACAAAAACAUUUCUUUUUGAUUUAAAUAAAAAGUAAUUUCUGCCCACUGAUAAUUAAUUUAAGGGCUGCAGUAAUUUAACUGUACUAAGGUAGCAUAAUAAAUUGUUUUUUAAUUGGAAACUGGAAUGAAUGAAUAAUUGAGAUUUAGACUUUAUUUAUAGAAUUUAUAGAAUUUUAUGAAUUAGUAAAAAAUCUAAUAUUUUUUAAAAAGACGAGAAGACCCUAUAGAAUUUAAUAUUUUGUUAUUUUAUAAUUAAUAAUAAAUGUUAAAGUUUAAUUAAAAUAUUUAGUUGGGGUGAUUAAAAAAUUUAUUUAACUUUUUUAUAUUUAAUCAAUAAUUUUUGAUUAUAUUUACUAAUUAUAUAUAAUUUAUUUAAUUUAAAUUACCUUAGGGAUAACAGCAUAAUUUUAAUUUUAAGAUGUUAUUAAAAUUAAAUAUUGUGACCUCGAUGUUGGAUUAGGAUAAAAUUUUUAUGAAGUAUUAAUUGUUUUUAGUCUGUUCGACUAUUAAAAUCUUACAUGAUCUGAGUUCAAACCGGUGUGAGCCAGGUUGGUUUCUAUCUUUUAUUUUUUAUUAAAUAGAUUUUAGUACGAAAGGAAUUAAUUUAAUAAUUUAUAUUAAUAAUAAUUGACUUCUUUUAGUUUUAUUAAUUAAAAUUA
rnacentral:rRNA from 1 species